rnacentral:misc_RNA from 2 species
AACGCAUAUUGCGCCCUUUGGUAUUCCGAAGGGCAUGCCUGUUCGAGCGUCAUUAUCACCUCUCAAGCCUGGCUUGCUGUUGGACUUCAGGUCAUGCUUUAGCUAAGACCGGUCCCAAAGAUAAUGACGGCGUCUGUGAGGACCCCAGUACAAUGAGCUUUUAUAGCACGUACUAGGCGGGAGUCCAGGCCCGGUCUUAUUUAUUUUAUCAAGGUUGACCUCGGAUCAGGUAGGAAUACCCGCUGAACUUAA